rnacentral:lncRNA from 10 species
UUCAGGAACCCAGUCCUGAUAAGCUACUAGGAAGUCAACUUCAUUAUGCAGUUAUGGUCACCAAUUUUUUUCCUGGGAAUGACAUAUAAAACCUCUCAUCUGAGCAAAAUGAGGCAGAUUAAUGUUGCAUAAAACAUAUACAGUCUGGAUUACAAAAUCGCAAAAGCUAUCUCUUGGCUAGAGAAGCCUUCCCUCUUUAGAUGCCUGUAAUUUCAAGAGAAAUUUCCCUAGAGCUUAAUAUUUCUUCCUCUUACAAACAGAAAAUUCUACAUAAUAGAAAUAAACCUUGAUAUAAGGAAAUUUUAGUCAGCUUUGCUUGCUGGCUAUGAAAUAUAAGUAUAAAUUAUUACUUUAACCUUUUGCCUAUGCCAACUUUACCUUCAAAACUAAAUAUUCUCCUCACAAAGUGAUAUGGUUUGGCUGUGUCCUCACCCAAAUCUCAUCUUGAAUUGUAGUUCCCAUAAUCCCCAUGUGUCAUGGGAGGGAGCUGGUCGGAGGUAACUGAAUCAUGAGGACAGUUAACCCCAUGCUGCUUUUCUCAUGAUGGUGAGUGAGUUCUGACAAGAUUUGAUUGUUUUUAUAAGGGGCUUUUCCCCCUUUGCUCAGCACUACUUCUCCUUCCUGACGCCAUUUGAAGAAGGAUGCAUUUGUUUCCCCUUCUACUACGAUUGCAAGAAGCUGUAGGGGGGGUGAAGAGGCUGCAAGUCUUCAAAAAUUCACAAAUUGGAUUAUCAAUUCUUAAGGAGUCGGCCAUUGUAGCAAACCAUGCCUUGAGGCAUGGAGUUGAAAUGCCACUUAAAGCAAGAAUGAAGAAAAGCAUUCCUUUUGAGAGGUAGUAUUGCAUGGGGUCAAGAGCAUGAACUGUAUUAGCACACCGCCUGGGUUUGAAUUUCAGCUCCAGUGUGAACUAACUCUCUGGACUUAGGCAAGUUAUUUAAGCUCUCUACUUCUUAGUUUCCUCAUCUAUAUAAUAUUGAUAAUAAAGUUAGCUUUGUUCUAGUGAAGAGAUGUAAAAUACUUAGAAGAGAGCCCGGUAUAUGGUAAGCACUAUGCAAUUAUUUGCUAUUAUUGGAAAAUAUUUAUUUGGUGCAUAUUAUAUGAUAAGAACUGUGCUGAAAAUUGGGGAUAAAAUGGGGAGGGAUUCAAAUUUCCUAUCCGAAAGACUCCUAUUCUAAUUAGGGCACUUAAAAUACAAGGUGGUAAAUGCUAAGAUAGAGGAGGACAUAAUAUGCCACAGAAGCUCAGGGGAGGAAUACUGAAAGCAAACAAAGAAGAUUUCUUACAAGAAGGGACAGCCUGAGACUUGCCAUAAUGCUCAAGAAGCGCUUGACCAACCUCUCUUCAUUCUCCCCCGACAGUCUCUGGUUAACCACUGUUCCACUCUGCUUCUAUGAUAACAACUUUUUUUUUUUUUUUUUAGAUUUCACAUGAGUGUGAUUAUUAUUUGUCCUGUGUCUGGCUUAUUUUACUUAACAUGAUGUGAUCCAAGUUUAUUCAUGUUGUCACAGGGGAUAAGAUUUCAUUGUAUCCCAUAUGUACAAUGUGUCAAUUAAAACAAAAUUUUUAAAGAAACUUCAGUUUUUUGGUUUCUCCCUUGGGCAGGUCCCAGAGAGGAACGGGUGUUAAAUUUGGGGAGGAAAAUCCAGGAUGCAAACAGGUAUCAUUUCUUCUUAAGUAUUUUCAUUAAAUUACCUAAAGAGAUCUUGGAAGAAAUUGGGCUGAAUCUUAAGUGUGCAGUUAUUUGUUGUGAUUUAUUUUCUUAUUCAUAAUCAACUUUCAUUUCCAACAUACCCUUUCUAUUUGUAACUUUAUAUUCUUUUUCUUAAAAUAAGUCCCUCAAACCUACACAUGCUUUAGGUCCCCAAAAUCUGUACUCACUUUACUCAAACAAUGAAUGGGAUUUAGCUAAAUUACGGGUCUCAGGGAUGAGUCGAAAUGGAUAAAAGAGCACUCGAGGAAGAGGUCUCAUCUUAGGCAAAAGAUCCAUGAAGUAACACAGAAACUUGGGUAGUUCCAAAGAAUUUUACAGAUCUUAAGUAGGGUAUUUAAAGUUUGUUUCCAUUUCUACUCUGUUGUUUAAGAACUUAAUUACACAGACAUUUGUGUCCUUAUUUUAACUAAUGUUCAAUACUGGACUACUUCUUUUCACUCUUAGAAGAGUAAUACUGAGAGAGCAGGCUCAAGGUAUGUGGUUCGAUGUCUUAUACAAGGUGGUAGCUUAUAUAAGCAUUACCAAGACCCAAAGAGACAAUAUGGAGGUCUCUUCUUAGUAUCUAUAAGGCAGAAAAUCCUCCCCAGGUUUUGUUUGUUUGUUUUUUUUUUGAGACGAGUCUCGCUCUGUCUCCCAGGCUGGAGUGCAGUGGUGCGGUCUCAGCUCACCGCAAGCUCUGCCUCCCGGGUUCAUGCCAUUCUCCUGC